AAUAUAUCCUACUGCACGUGCUAUUCUUAUAAUGUGAUCUUAGCACUCCUCCCACUGAGCAGUGAGGGCCAUGUUCUCUUGCUUUGAACGUGGGGAGGUCUUUGUGACACUCUGCAACUUUUGAGUCCAGAUUACAAAAAUGCCAUGCACUUCUGCCUUGCUCUUUGGGGACAGUCACUCUGGGAGCCUAGUCUCCACGUGAUGAGGAAGCUCAACCCAGGCUAUGUGGAAGGACCAUACAUAUGCAGAAGCCCAGAGAGAAUGAGGAGAAAGAUGCCAUGUCUCUCCCAUCUGAAAAGCCCUCUGCCAUUCCAGCUCCAGCCACCAUCUGUCUGCCUGUACCGGUCUCAUACCCUGAGACAGGAAACACUCAGCCCAGCCCUUCCUGAAUUCCUGAGGCAUGGAAACUACGGAAGACGAGAAGGUGGUGGUGGUUCUAACCCUCUGUAUCAUCGGAUUUCACUAAGAAACAAAGCUGGAUGGAAGUUAAGAUAGUGGGAGAGAGAAGACCAGAACAGAACUAGAUAAACCAGUCCUCACCAUUUGCACACCCAGAGUGCUCCAGUUGAGUAUGUGUUUGUUCUACGUAUCGGACGUGGAGGUUCUCCUUUCUUCGUAGCCGGUUAGCACCAGAAAAUGAAAAGGCUGUUAUUGGCGAAUCUGGAAUAACAUCUUCCUCAGAUUCAAGUGCAUUAACUUUGGAUCCUAAACACCCUGCUAAUCAUCAACUAAACAGAAAGAAUGCUGGAAGUAAAUACAGACUUUGAGUGUGACAGCCACUGAAAGUGUUAUCUCUUAUUGUGAGAAAUAAAAUGACUGGCUCCAGCUACUGUGCUCUGAAAUCCUUUGCCUGUUCAUACAAGUGAACACACAGGCAUCCCACACCAGUCUAUUAUUCCACAAUAGGCUGACUAUUCAAGUAAAUGUGCAUCCACUGAGGAGUAGUUGUAGAAGAAAGAGUACUCAACUUUAGUUUGCAUACAUGCAGAAUAUUAGGUUACUCUACCACUAAAGGCACAGUGGGAAAUUCAAACUAUCAGCCCCUCUGUAACAUAUAUAAAAAUGAUAAUAAAGGAAAAAUAUUAACUAUAAAGAAAGCAAAAAACAUUGUUAUAAGUAUUUCAAAGUCCUAAAUAGCACUUACACUUUAGACAAUGGAAUACAGCAAAAUCUGAAAGCCUUUUCUAAUGUAGAGUGUUAACCUCAUAGGUGUGGGGAAGAAAAAAGUUGGUAUGUGGAGGUGAAAUAACAGGCAUUAUUUUGAGAGUAUUCAGUAAAAAGAAUCCCUAGGAUGCCUGAAAGUGGAGAAAUACACAAGGGAGAAAAGAGAAUGCCAGGAAGAGUAUAUUCUUAAUUUCAUAAAGAAUUUAUACAAAGUUGACAUAAGCUUGGGAAAAAAGAUCACUUUAAGUCUCAGAACUGAUUACAAAUGAAAACUAAUGAAUACUCUAUUAAGAGAGAAAUCACCUCUUACUCAAAAAGACCCAAGAACAAGACU